GAGAAGCCAAUCUUUCUGCAGACAAAUGGAUCUGCCUGGGACUCAGCACUGCUCUUCUGAUAUGACAGCUGAUUGCCCUGGACACUGUAUCAUGAUAAGUUUUUAAACCUGAUGUCCUGUGGGCAUGGAAUGCCAGCCCUGAAGCCAAGAUUAUGGGGUCAUUUUGCAAUAAUUACAAGAAAAAAGAAGAAGGAUGAGAGGAAAAAAAAAAAAAAAGCAACGGCAUCGACACUGAGUCCAUACAGAAUCGCAGGUACUUGCAGCCAACACAGCACAAGCAUUCCAGCUGGGGCCAGCACACAAAUCUCAGAUUGAGACAUGGCUCAGCCAGCGCUGUGACCUGAGAUUAGAGACGUCCUUC
rnacentral:lncRNA from 1 species